GAAGAGUCAGUUAAAGCCCAUUCUUCUCAUCUUCACACAUUUCUCUCCUCCUCUCUCUUGCCAUGGCUUCUUCCUCCCUCCCUCUCUCUCAGGCCAUCCUCUCUCGCUCAAUCCCUCGCCAUGGCUCCUCUUCCUCCACCAACUCCCAAUUCUCCCCUUCUUCCCUUUCCCUCCCCACUUUCUCCGGCCUCAAAUCCACCACCUCCACCACCUUCCGCCGCCGCACUCUUCCGUCCCCCGUCGCCGUACGGUCGCCGGAAAUUAGAGCUUCGGCGGCUGUGGAGACUUUAGAGAAAACGGAUAAUGCACUGGUUGAGAAAUCUGUAAAUACGAUACGAUUUUUGGCAAUUGAUGCAGUUGAAAAGGCCAAUUCAGGUCAUCCAGGUUUACCUAUGGGAUGUGCACCUAUCGGACAUAUAUUGUAUGAUGAGAUCAUGAGAUAUAAUCCUAAGAAUCCUUAUUGGUUUAAUCGUGAUCGCUUUGUUCUCUCCGCUGGACAUGGUUGUAUGCUUCAGUAUGCUUUGCUUCAUCUCGCUGGUUAUGAUGCUGUUAGGGUAACGUCUUUUAACUCUUAUUUUAUCCGUUAAUUGGUGUAUGCAUGAGUGGAUCUAUAUAUUUUCGUAAAAAACAUACUUAAACUAUGACGAUUUUUGGAGUUUCAUACUUUUGAACUAUCAGGUGAGUUUUUUAUUCGAACUAUCACCAAUUAUUUAUCAAAAUAUACCUCAACUAUCAAUUGUUCCUUUUUUUUUUUCCCAUCUGAACGAGUAUCUCAUUUUUUUCAAGUUUCACAUCUCAGCUAUCAAUUGUUCCAUUUUCCUAAGUGAACUAUCACUAACUAUUUAUCAAAACAUACUAUUUUUUUCAAGUUUCACAUCUCAACUAUCAAUUGUUCCAUUUUUCUGCCUUAACUAUCACCAACUAUUUAUCAAAACACACCGACAAUUUUAGUUGUUCUCUUUUCCUAUCUGAUAUAUCAUCAUCGUUCAGGUAAGAAAAGGUAACGAUUGAUAGUUGAGGCCCGUUUUGAUAAAUAGUUGGUGAUAGUUCAGGUAAGAAACUUGCACACCUAGUAGUUAAGAUCUGAAACUCAAAAAAUUGAGAUACUUUUGAUGUGGUUUUGACUCUUUUGUAUUUUAUUGUUGUGUAAUUGGAUCUAUGUAAUGCCCCUCUAGCAAGUAAAAUCUUCUCACCUUUUUGAGUUUUGGCAUGACCGGGAAAUAAUUUCCAUUAUUAGGACAUCUUCUGGUGUUCUGCUGAUGAAAAUAUGUUUCACUAAAAGGGGAAAUUGCUUGUGGGCUUAUGGGGUGCUGUCAUUUUUCUUUACAACUAUUUUAGCUCUUACUCCAUAUCACUUCCUUCAAGCAGCAAUUACACAUUGUUAUUAGUCUUUGAUACUCGAAAAGAUUUUAUUGAAGCACUAUCUAUUUGCCAUAAAUACUUUUUUGGAAGUUAUUUUUCACUCACAAAUCGACCACUCACUUGAAAAUCAGUGUGUAAGCCACGGAUUACCCUGGAAAGCAUUUUUUCAUGGAAAACAUUUCUCUUCAUCCCAAUUCCCAAAGGACAUGUCUUUCUGGUAUCCCACGCUGUUCUGGUAUAGCCACUUCAUUUGCGUUUGGUGUGGAAGAAAAUGUUUUUAUGAAAGAAUAUUUUUCUUGGGGAAUCUUUUUCUGUUUAAGUAAAAGUUGAAUCCUUCAAGUUGUAGGACAAGAUAUAAAGAUAGUGUUUGAUUGGCAAAAUCUGAGUACAAGUGCUGGUUGAAGUAAAGUGAUAUGAAAAGGAACGGGAUGUUUGUCAAAGAAAAUUAAUUCUCAUUUUUGGUGCAAAAUAUUUUGCCAGUGUAACGUUUUUCACAAUUUUGGGUAACCAAAUUCUGGAAAAUAGUUUCCUCAUGGAAUACAUUUUCAAAGAAAAAUAUCUCCUCCAUACUGAGCACUGAAAACUGAAACAUGAUUUUGGUACACUUUGGACAUUUUACUGAUGAAUUUAUCUUUAUCUUUUAGCUUAAUGAGCUGAUGUUCUUGAAGUGUGUUUUUGUAGUUAGAAUUUACUUAUAUUAUAUUUUAAGUUAAUUUUCGUCAUUAUGCUUUUUAAAUUGUGUUGAUUAUGAUUACUAUUGUAUUUUGACUAGGAAGAGGACUUGAAGAGCUUCCGCCAGUGGGGAAGCAAAACCCCUGGACACCCUGAAAACUUUGAGACACCUGGUGUUGAAGUCACCACUGGUUAGUGCACUUUUUUAUAUGUCCGUGUACGUUAAUUAGAUUUCUAUCUGGUGGUGGAUUACGUAUAUUUGGGUACGUGGCUUGUCAUCGAGAGUUGUAUAACUGAUUAUGAUUUUUAUUUUCGUGCGGUUAGGGCCUCUUGGACAAGGGAUUGCCAAUGCCGUUGGCUUGGCCCUCUCAGAGAAGCACUUGGCUGCUCGUUUCAAUAAGCCUGGCGCUGAGAUUGUAGACCACUACACGUGGGUCUCCCCACUCUCUCUCUCUCUUUUCCUUUUGAAUGCCAUAAACAAUUGUAUCACUUAAUGCAGCCUGUUUUGUUUGUCUAAUGGCACCGGUGAUCAUGCAGAUAUUGUAUUCUCGGUGAUGGUUGCCAGAUGGAGGGUAUUUCACAAGAAGCGGCUUCUCUUGCUGGACACUGGGGGCUCGGAAAGCUGAUUGCUUUCUAUGAUGACAACCACAUCUCAAUUGAUGGGGACACAGAAAUCGCUUUCACUGAGGAUGUUGGUGCCCGUUUUGAGGCUCUUGGUUGGCAUGUAAUCUGGGUGAAGAACGGUAACACUGGUUAUGAUGAGAUUCGUGCUGCCAUUAAGGAAGCAAAAGCAGUCACAGACAAACCCACUAUGAUCAAGGUAUUUUACACACUGCUUCUUUUUGUUAGGUACUAGGAGGUGAUCCUGGGAAAGUUGUAUUACGGUUGAGUUAUUGUAUAGACUUUACUGCAUCUUUUGGCCCUUGUUUCUUAUUGAUAACUUUAUAUUUCAUUUUUGCAACCCAUUUCCUUUAUUUUUGUUUUCUCAAUCAGGAUGCAUGGUUAAUUCAUUUUAGUAAUGUUAUUAUAAGGUUCCUUCAGAGAUAUUCAGUUCAUAUCAUUUAUCAUUAGGUUUACGGAACCUUCCUCCUUUCAGGUAACUACAACCAUUGGUUUUGGCUCACCCAACAAGGCAAAUAGUUACAGUGUACAUGGAAGCGCACUUGGAGCUAAGGAAGUAGAGGCCACGAGGCAGAACUUGGGAUGGCCUUAUGAGCCUUUCCAUGUGCCUGAAGAUGUCAAGAGGUACUAUUCCGUUCCCGUUUUCCAGAUUCAUUUGAACAUUACUGGUAACUUACUAAUAACUAUUGGUGCUACUUCUUGCAGCCACUGGAGCCGUCAUGUUCCCGAGGGUGCUGCUCUUGAAGCUGGAUGGAAUACCAAGUUUGCUGAAUAUGAGAAGAAGUACCCAGAGGAAGCUGCAGAUCUCAAAUCCAUCAUCACUGGUGAACUACCUGCUGGCUGGGAGAAAGCUCUUCCUGUAAGUAGUCAAUUUCAUUGUUCUCUCUCCUAUUGAAAAGCUGACUUCAGCUGCUUUUGGUUUGCACUAUCUUUAUGUUGAUUUCUUAGCUUUUGGGUGGAGUUUUUAUACCUUGCCUCCUAAUAUAGACAAGAGUUUGUUUCAUUUGUACUCCUGUUCUUUUAUCUUCCCUGAUUUGGGGAAAUCACAUUUCCCCAGCAAAUCAAUUAUUUUGCAUCACAGUUCCCCAGCAGGCUACCGUCUAACGACCCCCUUGUUGUGUUAAGUCAUACUUUACUAUCUAAUCGUUCUACCUGAAUUGAUACUCGUCUAGUUCCACAACAUGUAAAUAAAUCUAUACUGAUUUAGUUAUUUGCUUGCUUUCUUAAUCUCAGACCUACACACCUGAAAGUCCAGCAGAUGCCACCAGAAACCUGUCCCAACAAAACCUGAAUGCUCUUGCCAAGGUUCUUCCUGGUUUCCUCGGUGGUAGUGCUGAUCUUGCCUCAUCAAACAUGACCCUCAUGAAAAUGUUUGGCGAUUUCCAAAAGAACACCCCAGAGGAGCGAAAUUUAAGGUUUGGUGUUCGUGAACAUGGUAUGGGAGCCAUUUGUAAUGGAAUUGCUCUGCACAGCCCCGGCUUAAUUCCCUACUGUGCCACUUUCUUUGUUUUUACUGAUUACAUGAGAGCAGCCAUUAGAAUUUCAGCUUUGUCUGAAUCGCGUGUUAUCUAUGUUAUGACCCACGAUUCAAUUGGGCUUGGAGAAGAUGGACCUACACAUCAGCCCAUUGAGCACUUGGCAAGUUUCCGUGCAAUGCCCAAUGUUCUGAUGCUCCGUCCAGCAGAUGGUAAUGAGACAGCUGGUGCUUAUAAGGUGGCCAUCCUCAAGAGUAAGACACCAUCAAUCCUGGCCCUUUCUCGACAAAAGUUGCCCCAACUUGCUGGAACUUCUAUUGAAGGAACAGCAAAGGGUGGCUACGUUACAUCAGACAACUCUUCAGGCAACAAUCCUGAUGUCAUUUUGAUUGGUACCGGGUCAGAGCUGGAAAUUGCUGUCAAGGCUGCUGAUGAACUCAGAAAGGAAGGAAAGGCGGUGAGAGUUGUCUCCCUCGUUUCUUGGGAGCUUUUCGAUGAGCAAUCAGCGGAGUACAAGGAAAGUGUUCUUCCAGCAGCUGUUACUGCUAGAGUUAGCAUUGAAGCUGGAUCCACAUUUGGGUGGGAGAAGAUCGUCGGAUCCAAAGGGAAGGCCAUUGGAAUUGACAGAUUCGGUGCCAGUGCCCCUGCUGGAAAAAUAUACAAGGAGUAUGGAAUUACAGCAGAGGCUGUAAUAGCUGCAGCUAAACAAGUCUCUUAAGCUCUUAUUACUUGCCCUUGGUUACUGGUGUCUACCAAAGUUGUUUUGUUUUGAUUCUGAGAUCGGAGACAAUGGUUGUAACCGAUACCAAGUGGACUCGGCAGUUAAUCGUUGCCUGAGUAUUUUCAAUAAAGAUAAUUUCUUCAUCUGCGUUUCGUUUUCUUCAGUUUGAACAGCGGGGUGGCCGGAAUGAUCUCAAGAUGAGGAUAGAAAUAGGCCUUUAUGGAUGGCUCCUGACCAAGUACACUUAAAAAUGUAUCUUUGAGUUUGUAAUUUUUAUUUGGUCGAGUGAUAACGAGGUCCAAUUUUCAAUUGGAAUUUCAUGUAUUCUGGUAACACAUGGCUUUCUUUGUCUUCACUAUAGUUAUCCUUUUGCGGCCAUCUAUUCCAAAGCAAUUGGAUCUUUUGGCAGCAUCGAUGACAAAGUCUGCAACUGAUGGAAGUAAAUAUACCGCUAAACUGUAUUUUGUUUCUACAAGCUUUUCUGCUGAAGUUUAAAUGGUUGAGAAGUUUUAAUCACUAGUGAUAAUUUUAACUGGUCAUAAAACUGAUCUGCUGAUCAGGAAUUGAAUAACUGUAUUUCUCUUUCAUUAGCUUUUGGUUCUAAGCCAUGGAAAUCUAAUCUUCAAAGCAAAAAAGUGAGUCCUUCUAGGCUGAAUGAGUUUUCUUUAUCCAUAAUUAAAUGUUGCAGGUUCAAGUUCCAAUAAGAUUAUGGAGUCAUUUCUUCAUCCUUAAUUGAAUGUUUCAAGUUUGUUUUUUAGAAAUUGAGACAUUUCUGAUGGUAAGUAGUACUAUUUUUUCCCCUUUAGUGGAUAUUACUAUUACCUAACGUGAAUUUGAAUAAUCGAGUUUAGAGUCGUCAAAAUGGACUUGGCCCUUGAAACCGACCCAACCCACCACGCUAUAACGGUUGGAUUGUGAUUUUUGAGUUCAUUUAAAAUCGCGGCUUAUAAACUCAGCCCAAGUCAGCCUGUUGGUCCUUGAGACUUGAUUGAGGCUGGUUUGGGCUGGCUCGUGGGUCAAAAUACUAUUUAAUUUAAAUUAAAAAUAUGUGAAUAUUGUAAAAGAAAAAGUAAUAAUUAAGAAUAGUAGUUAUUGAUUAAGUUUAAUAUCCUACAUAAUGUGUAACUUAUUAAGUGUUAAACAUUAAUCAUCAAGUAUUGAUAUUUCAUUUGUUAUUGUUAUUCAAUUUAAACUUAAAAUUAAAGGAAAUUGUAAGCAAAAAGAAUUAAAAAUAUAAAUAGUGAUUACUCAAUAAAUUUUACCUAGUUAUCUUAUAUAAAAUUUUACUAAUUUAGCAUUCAAUAGAGAAUAUUAAAAUUUUUAAUGAUAAAUAUAAAAAUUGCAUCCAUCAUGAAACGUUCAAACACUUGUUACAGCUACUCGAAAUUUAUUGCACAACAUUACCCAAAUUCAAAGCGAUAAUAUUUUUAAGUGAAUUUUAAAUAUUAUUAAUUUUUGAUAUAUAAAUUUUUGAUAUUGUUCAACUUACUAAAUUUGCAUAUGAAUUUAGAUGAACGUUGAUGUAAUGAAUUCAAAUAUGUUUGACAAUGUAUUAGUGGCGAAAUAUUAUAAACCAUCGUAGAAUUAUGUACUUUAUAUAAUAGUAUGUUAGAAGUGCGAAUGUAUUACCAUAUCUAUUAGUUCAAAUUGAAAAAGAAAAUCUGACAAAAAAUUGAUAAAAAUAAAGGGCUAGCCCGCCCCAACCCGCGAUCCUAUUAGGGAUGGGUUGGGCCAUAUAUUUUAAGGCCCUUUAAGGUGAAGGGGCGGCCCGUCCUAACCCAUCAAAUUCAUUGGCCCGUGAGGCUUGGGCCGGGUUGGGUUGGGCCAGCCCAUUUUGACAACUAUAGUUGAGUUAAUGAGUUUCAGAUAAAAAAUUUGUGUGGGCCCUGUAAAAAGGUUUGAGGAUGGGUGAUUUGUCUCCAUCCAAGUUAUGUGGUGGUUGAAACUUUUGAUUGCUCAUAAAUCCAGGGGUGUUCACGAUUUAGUUAAAAAUCAAAUCGAAUCGUGAAUCAAAUCAAACCAAUUAAAAAAAUCGAUAUUUGGUUUGGUUUUAAAUUUUAAAAAUCGAUACUUAUGUGGUUUGGUUUUGAUUUUACUCUAAAAUAACCGACAAAAUAACCAAAUCGAACCGAUAAAAAUUAUAUAUAUAUAUAUUAUUCAUGAAUAAAAAAUAAAGAUUUGUUACAUUUUAAAUUUUAAUCAUGAAUUUAACUUUAAUCAUAAUACUUUUAGUCAUAUGUCUUCAUCUAGUUGACAGUACGUUAUGAGAUUCUAAAUGAUUUUCGCACUUUGAAUAAUAAAUGUUACUAAUUAUGAAAAUUAUCUUGUUGUCUAUGGGAUUUUACAGGUGAGUUUCAUUGGACUAUAGAUAAUCACUAUUUUUGAGCUUUCUUUUUGAUUUCUAUUGAGCAAAAAAAAUUUAUGUGUUCACCUUUUGGGGGUUUAUUAUAUCGUUCUCUUAUAUAUAGUUUCUAAAUAAUUUUUGUAAACGCAUUCAUAUGGUGUUGUUCGUGGCUUUGCCUAAGUAUAAUACUAAAUUGACAUCUUAGUUUCAAGAUUAGGGCACAAUACUAUGUUUGAUUGGAUUUUUUUUUUAAAAUUUCAAGUUUUAUCAUUAGUUAAAGUUAAAAAUCGAAAAAACCAAAAAAUUAAAAAACCCGAACCAAACCGAACUAAACUGACAAGAACCAAACCGACGGUUAUUUUUUUAUGUUGGUUUGAUUUGGUUUUUGAAAUUUAAAAAUCGACCAAGUUGGUUUGGUUAUGAUUUUGACCAAUUACCGUCCCAAACCGACCCAUGAACACCCCUACUUAUGAUUGUUGAAAUUAUGACUUUAAACUUUCCUAUCCACAAUGUCUCCUUCCACUUUUUGAUUGACAAUUACUCUCUCCGUUUCAAAUUAUCCGUCUCAAAUUUUCUAAUUUGAUUUCUCAUUUUACUUGUCUUUUUUCAUUAAUUAAGACAAGACAAUUUUUUUCUCCAUUAUACCCUUAGUAAUUGAUUACUCCUUGUUAUUAGCAUUUAAUUAUCAAAUCUUGAAAAAUGUUGUAAAGACUUUGGUAAUCCUAUAAUCCUAAUUAUCCAUGCAAAAAUUGUUUUGGUAUCAGCCAUAUAAUAACUCUAUCAAUAUUGAAACUAACAACAUGACACAAUUAAUAGGAGUAAAAUGGUAAUAUUAUAUUACCAAUCAUUAUUUUUUAAUAGCAAUGUCAUCUUAAUUUGGGAUGAAUAAUUUGGGACGGAGGAAGUGUGUGAAAGUUAUAGGUUCUUAGGUCUAUUUUUGUCCACUGAUUUUUUUUUUCCGAACUACCACCAAGUUGUUGAAGAUGGUCCCCCUCGAUUGGAAUAAAAUGUUUUGGAGCUUUAGCAUAUUCUCCCUUUCUAAUUGUUCGAUUAAAAUAAUGUUUGGAUGACUGAAGUUGGUAUUGAAUUAUCUUGUGAUCUCCAUUUGCUUUAAUCAUCUAGAUCUCACCUACCCCCUAAAAUUCUUGACAAGUUCUGUUCAUUUUAUGUCAUCAGAACAUGAAAUUUAGGAAUUGUAAUUUGCGAUUUUUAAUUUUAGCAUAAUAUUUGUGACUGAUCAUAAUUUUCUAUUAUAAGUUGUGUAUCAUGGGAGGAAGAUUUAUAUAACGUUUGGAUAUGUUGGGUGUGUUUGGUAUGAGGAAAAUAUUUUUCAGAAAAUGUUUAUCAAUUUUUUCAUGUUUGGUUGGCUUAAUUGUUUUGGAAAAUAUUUUUUCAAAUCAACUUAUUUUUCUCAAAUAUAAGGAAAAUGACUUCCCUUCAAAAAGUAAGGAAAACAUUUUCCAAAAUUUCCUUUCAACCUUACUCAUAAGUUGAAAUGUUCAUACAACUCUCAAAAUCCCUCACCCCUACUCCGAUCCCCAAUCCCUCACCCCCACCCCACCCCAUUCAAAAUAAAUAUUUUAAAUUUUUUUCUUACCUCAUCCCCUACCCAAAAUCCAAACACGUAACCUCCUUCCCCCCACCCUCCCCUAUCUAAAUUUUUUUUUUAAAUACAAACUUUUCUUACCCCCCCUUCGCCCAACCCCAACCAAUUCCCUCCCCUUCCCUCAAUUCUGCUCAUAUUCAUGAUGUUAGUGUUGUUUUACCUCUUUCUUUGGAUUCUAUUAGUGUGGUUCGCGAGUUCAUGGAUGCAUUCCCUACAAAUUUGCAUGGUAUGCCACCAGAUUAUUAUAUUUACUUUUCCAUUAAAGUCGAAUCAGGCACCAAGCCUAUUUCUGUUUUUAUUUAUAAGAUGUCCCCUGUCGAGUUGAAGAAAUUGGAAGAUCAGUUGCAGGAGUUGUUGGAUAAGUGAUUUAUCUGACCUAAUGUAUCACCUUGGGGUGCGCCUAUCUUGUUUGUGAAGAAAAAUAAUAGGUCUAUGCAUAUGUGUAUUGAUUAUCGGUAGUUGAAUAAGGUAAUGACUAAGAAUAAGGAUCCUGUUCCUCGUAUCAGCUUCAGGGUGUUGCGGUGUUUUCAAAGAUUGAUUUGAGAUUCGGGUAUCACCAGUUGAGGAUUAGGGCUUCAAAUAUCCUGACGAUAUCUUGUCAGACUCGAUAUGGUUAUUAUGAGUUCUUGGUCAUAACCUUUGGGUUGAAAAAUGCUCUAGCUACGUUCAUGGAGUUGAAGGAUUGGGCAUUUCGAUCGUAUCUUGAAUCAUUUGUUAUUGCAUUCAUAGAUUAUAUCUUGGUUUAUUCCAAGAGCGAGGACGAUUAUGUGGAGCAUCUGUGGAUUGUGCUUCAGAGAUUGAGGGAUGAGAAGUUGUAUGCUAAGUUCUCCAAGUAUGAGUUUUGGUUAGAGUCUUGUCUCUUUCUUGGGUUAUGUGGUGACUAAGGAUGGUAUUAUGGUUGAUCAAGUCAAGAUUACAACGGUUCUUGAUUGAUCUAGGCCUACUUUUGAUUUGGAGUUUUGUUGGCUUGGUAGGUUACCAUCAUUAUUUUGUUGAGGGUUUCUUAUCUAUUGCAGCUCCGGUGAUCAGGUUGACUGAGAAAAAGAUCUUUUUUAGUGGUUUGAUGCUUAUGAGGCAAGCUGUCAAAAGCUCAAGGAUUUGUUGACAUCUACUCCUAUCUUGACUUCACCCAAGGAGGGCGGGGUUUUACUGUCUUUUGUGAUACUUCAAAUGUUGGGUUAAAUAUUUUGUUGAUACAGGAGGGUAAGGUGAUUGCAUAUGCUUCUCGUUAGUUGAGACCCCAUGAGAAGAAUUACCCUACCCAUGAUUUGGAGUUUUGUGCGGUUGUUUUUUCUUUAAAGUUGUAGAGGCACUACUUGUAUAGAGUCCAUUGUAAGAUCUUCUCUGAUCAUUGUAUCCUUCAAUAUUUCUUCACCCAGUGAAAUCUUAAUAUGAGGCAGCAUCGAAUGUUUGAGCUGCUUAAGGAUUAUAAUUUGACCAUUCUCUAUUAUCCGGGCAAGGCUAAUGUGGUUGCGGAUGCCAUGAGCCAGAAGUCGACUAGCACGGGUAGCUUGGAGCAUCUUUUGACCCAAGAGAGGCCUUUGGCCAUAGAGGUUCAGUCUUUGGCUAACCAAAUGGUUAGGCUUGAUGUUUGGACAGUUGGGCAUAUUUUGGCAUUCAUGGAGGCUAGGUCUUCUUUGAUGAAGUAGAUUUAAGCUCAUCAGUUUGAUGAUGUUGGUUUGAGAUUGAUUUGGGAUAAGGUGAUGAAUGGUGAGGCUAAGGAAUCCCCCUUUAUUUAGAUGGCAUUUUGAAGAUUGAAGUUCGAGUUUGUGUACCAAGAGUAGGUGAUCGGAUUAGAUUGAUUUUAAAAGAGGCCCAUUGUUCUAAGUAUUCCAUCAAUCUGGGAAUGACUAAGAUGUAUCAUGAUUUGAGACAACAUUAUUGGUAGGGUGGUAUGAGGAUGGAUGUAGUGGACUUUGUAGCUCGUUGCCUGUGUUGCUAGCAGAUAAAGGCUGAGCAUUUGAGACCUGGUGGUUUGCUUCAGAGGUUACCCAUUCUCAAAUAAAAAUGGGAAUGGAUCACUAUAGAUCGUAUGACUGGGUUGCCUCAUACUUUUCAUACUUUUGAUCAUGUUUGGUUCGUCAUGGAUUGAUUGAUCAAAUUUGCUCAUUUCAUUCUGGUUUAGGUUUUAUUCAGUGCUGAGAGGUUGGCCCAUAUCUAUAUUUGUGAGAUAGUGCGUCUUCAUGGUGUGCUAAUGUCUAUUUUAUCUGGUUAAGGUUCAGUGUUAACAUUUCAUUUUUUGAAGAUAUUUCAGGAGGAGUUAGGGUACUCGGGUUUAUUUGGGUGCAAUAUUUCACUCCCAGACUAAUGGGCAAUCUAAGUGAAAUUCAAGUUUUGGAAGAUAUGCUCUGCGCGUGUGUGAUAAACUUUGGCGGUCAGUGGGAGCGAAAUCUAACUUUGGCGGAGUUUGUAUAUAAUAAUAGCUAUCAUUCCAAUAUUGAUAUGGCUCCUUUUGAGGCUUUAUAUGAGAGGCAUUGUCGCUCUCCAGUUGGUUGGUUUGAGGUUUUUGAUAUUAGACCUCAAGGUACGGUCUUACAUUGUGAGUCCACAGAUAGAGUUCUAGUUAUCUAGGAUAGACUCCAAGUGGCUCAAAGGAGGAAGAAGUGUUAUGCUGAUCUUUGACUUCGUACCUUGAAAUUUAGUGUUGGUGAUUGUGUUUUUCUUCGAGUUUCGCCCAUGAAGGGCGUGAUGAGGUUCAAGAAAAGGGGCAAGCUUAGUCUCAAAUAUAUUGGUCCAUUUGAGAUUGUUCGAACUAUUGGUGAUGUAGCUUAUGAGUUGGCUUUGCCCCAGGUUUAUCAGGUUUUCACCCAGAUUUUCAUGUUUCCAUACGUCGUCAUUACAUUCUAGAUAAGUCUUAUGUCAUUCGUUGGGAUGUAGUUAAGUUAGUUGAGAGGUUGACUUUUGUUGAGGAGCCAGUUUCCAUCCUAGCUAAAGAUGUCAGGCGGCUGCGUUCUAGAGUUAAUCCAGUGGUUAAGGUCCAGUAGAAUCAUCGACCUGUAGAUGAGGCUACAUAGGAGGUCGAGUCUGAUAUACGUAUUAGCUAUCCUAGCUUUCCGCGAGUUCAGUUUUUUUUCUGUUGCCUUUAGUUCGAGGACAAACUAGAUUUUUAGUAGUGGAUAAUGUAACAACUUGAUUUUUGAUGAUUCAUGCAAAAUAAUUGAUUUUGUGUGAUUUGACCAUUUAACCUCUCCCCGUGGUUGCUUUUUGGCAUUUCUGAGGUGUGAGGAUGAUCGUCAGAUGAAGAUACAAAUUGCACCAAUAGAUCUAGAACGUCGAUUUUUAUUGGUAACAUAGUUGGUAUGGUUUCAUGGCUAUUAAAUCACAUUUCGACUCUCGAUUUGAAAAGUUGUGAAAUUGAGUUUCUAGGACCAACUUUAUGAAAACGUCAUUCUUUCAAAAAUUUGAUAUCGUCGUUGAGUAUGUAGCAUCGAAUUUGUUAGGGUAUUAUAGUUCGUUUGAAUUUAUAAGAUUUUGGAUGAAUCCCGAGGGAUCUGCAAAGAUGGUGCAUCCGCGUUAGCGAUCAGCCAGUCGCAUACGCAAUUCAGUUGAUUAGCCCCAAGUGUCACGAAUGCGACAUCUCCGUCGUGAUCACGAGUCUCGCGUAUGUGAUAAAGUGUUUCAAUCGCAAUACCUACCAUCAUGCUAGGUACCGCAUACGCGAAACUGUCGCAUAUGCGAUGCCUGGGUCCUUUAAAUACCCAUGUCUCGCCAUUUUUCACCACUUUUGAUGGGUUUCACAUUUUUGAGCAAUUUUUUCUAUUUCUAAGCUUGGUUAAUGUUGAUAACACCUAUUUCAACUAUUUUUUUAAUGUUUAUUAGUUAAAUAUUGUUUUAAUGUGGAUUUAAAAGAGAAAUUUGGGGAUUUUGGUCCAGAAGGCCUAAAAAUUAUAUUUCUUUGAUUUAAACCCCGCUUUUUAGACUGUUUUCACUUGAAUGAGUUUCUAAUCUUAUAAUUAUCACUUUUUUCUCGAUUUUAUCAUCAAAACAACUUCAAAUUCUUGAUUUCAAAAUAAUGUUUUAGGGAUUUUAUCGAUAAAGCUUGAAAAUGGGUUUUUCUUGAUUUGAACCUCAUUUUAAACUUUUUUUCGCUUGGGUUUUCAAAUUGAUACUCCUUUGUGUAUGGGAAACAUGUUUUAAAAAUAAAAUUAUGAUUUUAUCCUUUUUUUGGAAACCCAUUUUGGGGUCCGUUUUGACCCCUACUAAAGAUAAGUAACAUGGGUAUUGUUGGAUUUCUUUUGAUGCGUGAAUUCUAUAUUUAUAUGUUUUAGUUGAUUCUAGGUUUUUUCGCGAAGGGGAAGCUUCGGAUUGAAGUCCUUUUGGACUGAUUUUCAACAUUUGAGGUAAGAUAUGACUUAGCUUUCUUCAGACUAGACUGGGUAGUUAUGUUGAUACAAAAUUAUGUUAAGAAUGUGGGAACUAAUCAUUAAAAUGGCUAUAAUUAUCGUGUUGUGCCCGUGUGAGGGACAAUAUAUGUAUUGAUGUAUUUGGUGAUUUUGAAACAGUAUUUGCUAUGUGUGACUAUAUGGGGUCCGAUAUGAUAUUAUUGGCCCUAUAUACUUGAAUUUUGUAGUAUCAUGUUUAAUGAAAAAGCCUAAUGUGGUACUAAUGGUGUAUUUUAAUGUAUUUCACUCUAUUGACAUAUGGUUUAUGUUGAAUUUUCAUGGAUGGUUGGAAAUAUUGAGUGGGUCAUUGGCUCACUUGGUUGGAUAUAAAAAUUCUCAUUUUGGUUGGUUGUGAGCAUUAUAUCCUCAUAUUAUGUACAUUUAUGAAACAUUGAUACCAUCGUGAAAAUUCUGAAAACAUUAGCUUUUUCUAACAGAAAAUAUGACAUUUUUAAAACCCCUCUACUGAAGGAUGUGCCAAAGAGGAAAUAUGGACAUUGUAUUGGAUAUGGAUUUCAUAUGGGUUGACGAACCCCUCAUGGGUCCUACAUCAGGAAGCUUUAGCUCCGUAGGUGUAUACGGAGGUUGUGAGAUGACUUCGUGCAUCAUCAUCACCAUCUUCAUUGCAUAUGUACUUAUGUUGUGUUAUGUCUGUGUUGUGUUAUCUUCCUUGAUGUGAUUACCUGUUUUUAAGUAUACUCUUCCCCAUACUUGUAUGUGUAAUAUCUGAAUACAUGUAUUUUCUUUGUUGUGUUUACUUGUUAUAUAUAUAUGUGAUUAAUAUAGAACGGUUAGUGGAGACAGUGUGAGCUACCGUUUGGGACAUUUUCUAAUUGCAGGUGACUUACCUAUAUUAUGUAUUUUAUAUGCUUUAUAUUUUACUUUACUCAGCCGGCCUAUGAUACUUAUUGAGUACAAGUUGACUAUACUCACCCCUACUAUGCUCUUUUGGUGCAGAUCAUGAUUCGAGUGCUCCUCAUGGCGGUUGAUUCGAGUGACUUGUAGAGCUAUUCGAGGUAGUGGCUGGAUUCUUUCAUCUAGAGUUGACUACUACCUUUUUCUUGUAUAGACUAUGUAUUUAUUUUGUUCAGAGACAGAGUUAUUCCUAUUUUGGUUAUCUUAUAUAUUUGAUCUCGAGUUGUACUAGUUAUGUUCUUACGCUGUGAACCAGAUUUUAGGAUUUGGUAUGACAUCUCGAUUAUGUUUCUCCGCAUUUAUUACAAAUUGUAUGUUCGACUUCAUUCUAGAAGCCUUGUCUUGGGUUUUAGGGCUAUUUCCCUUUUUAUAUCAAUUUGGUUGAUGGGAUUACUUGUCAAAGCUUGCCGUGACAAGUGCUAUCACAACCCUUGGUUUUCGAGUCGUAACAAAAACACUCUUUAUGUACCGUAUUGACACCCAAUUUAACUCUCCGUUCUUAAAAUUAACGUAUUUCGGCUUCUUGAUCAGUAAAGGACAAUGAAUAGAAUUUUUGCACCUUUUUUUUACAAUUGUUGACAAAUUAUUAAUAAUUGUUCUUAUUUUAGAAUUUUAUUAAUUUAUUAUCACAUUUUUCACUUUUCAUAAUUUAUUCAUAAUUCUCCAUAUAUUAGAAUUUUAAUCAAUUUAUUAUCUUAUUAAUAUUUUUCACAAUCAUCUGCUCACGCACACAACAUGACAUCAUAUUUUUUAUAAUCUACAAUGCAUUCACAUUUUGAAGUUAGUUAUAUUUUCAAUUUUUUUAUAAUUUUUUUGUAGUUAGAUAUCAAUAUCUAUAAUUUGUAUAUUAUUUAAUACAAUCCGCAAGUGAUAAGUCGAAUCAAUAAUAAUUCAAUCAAGUCAAGGUCUUGUCACAUUUAACAAGACUACACAAUGUCUUUGUCCUUUGAAUAAUAUCUUUACAUAUUUAUUAAAAAGAUGAAAAAAAUCAUUGGACAAUAAUUUGUGGUCUAAAUCAUACUUCAAGGGGACAAGAGGGUUUAGUGUUUUAUUUUUUGGAUAAAAAGAGGGGUCCUUUUGUAUUAUAAAUGGAGGAAAGGGAUUUUAGUUGUUGAUACAGACAAAGACACACGCAAAAAAUUAGAUUUCACUCUCAUAAACUCACGCCUAAAUCAUUCAUUUCCUUUUUUCCUCUCUCUAUUUUGUCCUUCACUGUGGCAGCCCCACCGCCACUGCUCCUUCUCUAGCGAAGCUAUUUUGGAGUACAUCAACACCACCACAAAACUAUUAUUAAAUGACCCCUCUUCCCUUUUUCCUCUCCCUUCUUGUCUCUCCUUCUCUCCUCUAUUCCUUCACCGUCACUGGCUCACCGAAAGUGUUAACCGACGAGCUCCAAUGCACCACUGUCGUUGUUGUUUGUCCCUCUUCCCCUUUCUCUUUUUGCCAUAUUUUUUUCAAAAUUGCCAGAUCUGGCCAUUUUCAUGCUUCUCCAGCAUUGCUUUGACAUUUACCAUGAAAGCAAUGUCUCCCCCUCUGUCAAGACUCAAGUCGAGGCCUUCCAAACCAUGAAGAACCGGGCACUCUUCUAAAUCUGGUAAUCAUGCACAAUAUUCAUAUAGUAUAAGAAAAUUUGCGAAAAAUAAUACAUGACGAAACCAUGGCCAAUCUCAUAAUCUUGAACAAUUUAAAAAGGAAAAUUUUGAAUAUUCUAAACAUGUGACAACCGUCUGCGAAAUCUCUAACAUUACAUUAGCCAUCAUACGUCUACGACAAAUCUGGGACAAGGCCCCCAGUAGAACAUAAAAAAGAAAGAAACAAUAAUAUCUGAAAACUGGCCUUUCGAAAGAGAGAAGGCUCGCUAACUGCAACUUCUAACACACAUUGAUCUACUGCUAUAUGAGACCGUGGAACUAUGCCUCAACUUUUUAGUCUUGAGAGGGGGAAUUAGAAGAUAGAACAUGGGGAUAGAUAGAGUAAGGUUCUUAUUCUUUUACAAAAUAAGAAAUCUAAAUUAGCGGCUAGGAUAGGGAUAUACCUAGAAUCCUUGAUUGGUUCAUUACUGGAUGAAAUAUAAAUGAGUUUAGCUUAGUUCUCACAUCCCUGAUCAACGAUGUAGUUGUGGUUCUAAGUUAGAUAGGUGAUUAGAGGCUUGAGAGACCAUGAUCAUAAUAGUAAUCCCAUGAAAUAACUAUAAAGAUAAGAAAUCUAAUGAAUGAAGUUCAGUAGCAUUGUAUGAUUGUUUAGACUGCUUUAACCACAGGUUUUCAUCUGUUGAUUGUCCAAAGUCUUUACUUUCCUGCAUUAUUUUACUUUACUUUUAGUUUAUAUAUGCUCAAACUCUUUUUAUUACGAUUGUACUGAUUAAUCUAGAUAGUUAAACUUGAAUUGAAUAGUUGUUAAAAUAAGUCUAUAAGGGAUCGAUAUUUUGCUCUAUGUAAGGCCAUUGUAUUACUCGGUGAGACCAUGUACACUUGUGUGUGUGCUUGGCGCAAUAAGUUUUUGGCGCCGUUGUUGGGGACUUGUAAAUUGGCAACUAUUUUUGCUUUAGUUUUACUUUUUAGAUAUUUUUGGGGCUUUACUCUUGGGCUUUGUAUUGAAUUUGCACGAAACAGGUUUAUAGAGUAGUAGGAUAGCAAGGGAUAGGGAAUUCAUUGAACCAAGCCCCAAACCCAAGUAAUGCUUUCAUCAACGGAGGAGAGAAGCAAUCCUUCUCCCUCAUAUCUCACAAUUUCAAGAGGAACAAGACAAUCCUUCUAUAAUGGAUGACGAUCAACCAGCUUGCAGGAUAAUUCGCGAAGUAGCAAUCCCACUUUAGAUAAAUCUGACCUCCCUUUUUCAGAAAUCAACUGCUGGGGGUAAUUUUGAGCUGAACAGAAUAUAAUGCAGUUUUUGAUCAGUAGUGGACAAUCCACGGGGCUUUCACAUGAAGAUCCACAAGUCCAUAUACAGAACUUUCUGGAGAUUAGUGACACAUUCAUCCCUAUGGGUGUGUCAACUAAUUAUGUUAGGCUGACACUAUUCCCCUUUUCACUAUUGGGGGAAGUGAAAAAGUGGUUGAAUGCUGAGCUAGCUAGUUUAAUCACAACACGGGAUGACUUAGCCCAGAAAUUUCUCAUCCGAUUUAUCCUAUUUGGCAAGGCUGCAAGGCUUCGUGUUGAGAUUAUAUGCUUCAAAUAGAACGCAGAUGAGAAUUUAUAUCAUGCUUGGGAGCAGUUCAAAGCUCUUCUUCGAGACUGGUCACACCAUUAACAGUCCAACGAGAUAUUAGCUCACACUUUUGUUGAGGCACUUGACCAUAACAUAAAAAUUUUUCUACAUUCAACUAUAGGUGGUCAAGCUUUGGAAUUGACGUAUGAUGAGCUAUAUACCUUGGUGAACCGAAUUGCAUAAGUAAAUCCUGAGUGGCAUUCUAUCUCAAGAAAUGCUACAAAGAAGGUUG
rnacentral:lncRNA from 1 species